rnacentral:lncRNA from 10 species
AAAGAACCCCAUGGAUGGCAGGCACUGGCACUCCUGCCUCCUGGGCAAACUUGCUGCUGUGCAAUGCAUCCACACUCUGUCCGCCCCCAACUCCACCCCAUCAAAGCCCUGGCCUCCCUGCACACAGGCUGUGAAGAGAUAAAAGGGACAGCAUGACCUUGUCCUUGGGGAACCCGCCACCCCACUGGGGAAGAAAGACUCACUCAUGACAGCUGAAUUGGCAAACAACCGACAACAAAGCACGUGCAGCUACGGGAGCAGGAAGGGAAGAGGGCUCGCCCUGAGUUGGAAAGAAAUUCGUCCUUCCAAACCCAGAGAAAUCCUGGCAGACGCCUGUCGAAGUCAAAGCAUCCAGCAGGUUGGGGACUGCCCCACAGAUAAGAGGCACAGUGACACCUGUGCAUGGACAGACCCGACGGCAUGGGAAGCAGAAUCAGAAACGUGACCACAUUCAAUCCUCAUCGUGACCCAGCAAGGGUGGGAUCAACAGCAACUCCAUUUUCUAUAUGAAGAAGAAAAACCAGGGCUUUUAAAGGAGCUAAGAUGACCUUUUCACAGUCGCAAAGCCACUGAGUGACGGAGCCAGGACUCAAACCCGGACUUGACCACAUCUGAAACCCACCUUCCUUCUUCUGCCAGGCACACACCCUGUGCCUCGGGGUGGGGUCUCUUGGCUCUAUGUAUAUUCCAGAAAGUCAUGCGAGUCAGGCAUGACCCUGAGUGACAUCCCCUUCUCAAUUGUAACCCAAAUUCCAAAGGCUGAAACUCGAGGUAAAACCGCUGCCUUGAAAUGUUCUACUGUUCUGCCGUCAAAGGGUGGCUGAAACCCAGCACGGGUCUGCGUAUCUGAAAUCAGAUGUCUGGCCCAGGACGCAUUCCAGAGAAGCUCCCUCUCUGGCUAAGGAGGAGCUCUUCUCUUUCCACUUAGAUUCAAGGAGUGUUUCAGCGGAGAGUGAAGGGCGCAAGGAGAGGCUGGCGGCUGCUUGAGAUAAGGGCCACCCUUGGAAGUCAGGAAAUGGUCCAGAGGCAGAAAUCAGAUAAGCCUCCUUCUCCCCCAGAAAACUAGGCCAGUGGCCCUCAAAGUACAGUCCCAGACCAGCCACAUCCUACUGCCUGGGAGCUUGUUAGAAAUAACACAUGUUCAGGCCCCCUGCACCGCACCUGCUGAAUCAGAAACCCUAGGGUGGGGCCCGCAUUUUAAUGAGCCCUCAGCUGAUUCUGAUGCCUGCUCAAGUUUGAGAAUGAUGUCCUCCAAGAAGAUGCCGCAGAAGAAAGGGGAAAUGAGCAUGUCAGGCUCUCUAGUUUAACAUGGCCGUAUUCACCAAAUAGUGCACUGUAUUCCCAUCCUCUCCACCGCCCACCCCUGCCCCCACUCUGUGGAGGGAUGUCCUUCCCAGCCCCAUUCUUACUGGGCUUGGCCAGGGGACUUGCUUUGGCCAGUGGAUUCAUCAGCAGGCAUGACAUAUGAUGCCACAUCUGAGCAGGAGUUUCAACUGCACCUGCAUCAACUGCCUUGGGCUUGUAAGCCUCUGCCCUCCUCUGGGAGACGCCAACUUCCCAGGCAGAGGGGGCUUCCUCAGCCUAGGUCCCACAGCAAAAUGAUGCACACAGCAGACCUGACCUCAACCCAAAGCCACAGGCAGCCCACAGACCCAUGAGCAGAAAAUAAAGAUUUGUUGUUUAAAGUCACUAAGCUUGCAGGUCGUUUCUUACACAGAAUUAUCACAGCAAAAGCUGACUGAUAUAAAUUAUUUGAUUUUAUAGCAAAGGAAAAACCAUGGUUCCAGCAGGCUGAGGUUUUGGGGACUCCUGCGGACAGACUCUCCUCCCAUUCUCAGGCCAGAGGUGAACCAUUCAGAGCCACCUGGGGAAGGGAGCCUCAAUAACUAACCUUCCUUCCACAAUGCCCUCUAGCCUCCUUCAAAGGGGAGGAUUGUGCCCUCACCUAAAAGAUGCUAACCAGUAAAUAUCUCAGCCUAAUAAUGUGGUAUUUUAAAAUACCUUCUAGAAGGAAUAAACAUUCCCAAGGAUGACCUUUCCCAUGACUCAGGAAGGAUGAACAGGUCAAGCUGAUGGGCCACGGGCACAGAGGACACACUCAACCCUUCCCUGGUCCUAACAAACCUGGGGACUCUGGGGCUUCUGUCCAACGUGAAACCAACUGGACAUUCCACCACUUCAGUUCAAGCCUGCAGUCCAGGCAUCCUGUGUAAACCACACUCC